rnacentral:rRNA from 1 species
AUUGAACGCUGGCGGCAUGCCUUACACAUGCAAGUCGAACGGUAACAGGUCUCCGGAUGCUGACGAGUGGCGAACGGGUGAGUAAUACAUCGGAACGUGCCCGAUCGUGGGGGAUAACGAAGCGAAAGCUUUGCUAAUACCGCAUAAGAUCUACGGAUGAAAGCAGGGGACCGCAAGGCCUUGCGCGAACGGAGCGGCCGAUGGCAGAUUAGGUAGUUGGUGGGAUAAAAGCUUACCAAGCCGACGAUCUGUAGCUGGUCUGAGAGGACGACCAGCCACACUGGGACUGAGACACGGCCCAGACUCCUACGGGAGGCAGCAGCGGGGAAUUUUGGACAAUGGGCGAAAGCCUGAUCCAGCCAUGCCGCGUGCAGGAUGAAGGCCUUCGGGUUGUAAACUGCUUUUGUACGGAACGAAAAGACUCUUUCUAAUAAAGAGGGUCCAUGACGGUACCGUAAGAAUAAGCACCGGCUAACUACGUGCCAGCAGCCGCCGUAA